CUACGGGUGGCUGCAGCUGAGGAUCUUUUACAAUGCACGCAAGUGUGAUAAAGCGAGCCAGAGUGUUGUUCUUAGAACGACUUUUGUUUGCUGUAAAAAGGCAGACGAAUAAGGACUGGGUAAGACCGGUGCCAGCCGCCGCGGUAAUACCGGCGGUCCAAGUUGCAUCCAUUUUUAUUGGGUCUAAAACAUUGCGUAGCUUGCUUUGUAAGUUUCUUGUGAAAUCUUAUGUCUCAAACAUGAGGCUUGCAAGAAAUACUGCAUAGCUAGAGACCGGAAGACGUAAGGAGUAUGAUUAAGGUAGCUGUAAAAUGUGUUAAUCUUAACCAGACUAACAAUGUCGAAAGCAUCGUACGCGUAAGGAUCUUACAGUGAGGAACGAACGCCAGGGGCGAAACACGGAUUAGAUACCCCCGUAGUC
rnacentral:rRNA from 1 species